GUUUGACAGGUCAUACUGAGAAGUCGUCAUCUUGAGAGGGGAGGUAAAACGUGAUGCCGGAAAGUUGUUCUGUUAAGAAUGGAGAAAGGGUGUCAGUCUUCAGGUUAAGAUUCACCACAAACAAAGAACGCUGGUGUGGUGACCAAGGGGGCCAAUGACGAUUUCUGAUCCCAGUCUGCUCCUGCGGGACAACGGCUGAGGGCACCCUGGCCGACAUAUGGACGUGUAGGGUUGAGGUCAAGUCCAUGGAAAAGCAAUGCAGAAUCAUUUACACCUUGCCCAUCAUAACCCAAGAACUAAAGCUGCAUUAGACCAUCUAGAAAUCUGUUUCAUGAAUUUGAAUGGUUAUAUUUUUCCAUAUGUUGCAAUAGCGGAAUAAACAUCCUUUAUUCUGUU